GUAAUGCUUAGGAAUCUGCCUAUUAGUGGGGGACAACAUCUCGAAAGGGAUGCUAAUACCGCAUACGUCCUACGGGAGAAAGCAGGGGACCUUCGGGCCUUGCGCUAAUAGAUGAGCCUAAGUCGGAUUAGCUAGUUGGUGGGGUAAAGGCCUACCAAGGCGACGAUCUGUAGCGGGUCUGAGAGGAUGAUCCGCCACACUGGGACUGAGACACGGCCCAGACUCCUACGGGAGGCAGCAGUGGGGAAUAUUGGACAAUGGGGGGAACCCUGAUCCAGCCAUGCCGCGUGUGUGAAGAAGGCCUUUUGGUUGUAAAGCACUUUAAGCGAGGAGGAGGCUACCGAGAUUAAUACUCUUGGAUAGUGGACGUUACUCGCAGAAUAAGCACCGGCUAACUCUGUGCCAGCAGCCGCGGUAAUACAGAGGGUGCAAGCGUUAAUCGGAUUUACUGGGCGUAAAGCGCGCGUAGGUGGCCAAUUAAGUCAAAUGUGAAAUCCCCGAGCUUAACUUGGGAAUUGCAUUCGAUACUGGUUGGCUAGAGUAUGGGAGAGGAUGGUAGAAUUCCAGGUGUAGCGGUGAAAUGCGUAGAGAUCUGGAGGAAUACCGAUGGCGAAGGCAGCCAUCUGGCCUAAUACUGACACUGGGGUG
rnacentral:rRNA from 1 species